UACGUAGGCAGCGAGCGUUGUUCGGAGUUACUGGGCGUAAAGAGUAUGUAGGCGGUUGCGUAAGUUUGGUGUGAAAUCUCCCGGCUUAACUGGGAGGGUGCGCCGAAAACUGCGUGGCUAGAGUGUGGGAGAGGAAAGCGGAAUUCCUGGUGUAGCGGUGAAAUGCGCAGAUAUCAGGAAGAACACCCGUGGCUAAGGCGGCUCUCUAGUACGGUACUGACGCUGAGACGCGAAAGCGUGGGGAGCGAACAGG
rnacentral:rRNA from 1 species